AGGGCAACGCUUGGAAUUAAGUCUGGAAAAACAGAUUGAACCCCAAAAAGAAGACUUUAAAUGCCAAGCUAGAGAGUUCGAACUUUAUUAAGUGGGCAAUGGGAAGUCAUUAAAGGGUCUUGAGGCAGAGAAUGGUUUAAGAGAUGUAGUUUCGGAAGAUUAACUGACAUGAGCCCACAGGAUAUAUUAGAGGGGAGAAAUGGAAGGCGAGGAGCUCAACCAAGAGAACAUUGCUAUCCUCCAAGUGACAGGGAUUGAGGACAGCUUUGGGGACAGGAAGAAUGAAAACAAAAGGUAGAUUCAGAAAACAAUGAAGGCAAACAUUGGAAUGGCAGGAAGAAAGGCAAAGGUUACUAGUAUUUAUUGAGGACAUACUACCUGUUACUCAGAACACUAGAUAUAUAGGAUAAACAAAUGUCCUUUUCUUGCCACAAUCUGUUUAUGCCUUCUUUUCUUUUUUUUCUUUUCUAUUGUUUUCUUUGAUCAUGAGAUAAUUAUUAACAAUGGCUCCUUUCAUUCUCCAUGUGUUCUGGUUCGGACAAUGUGGUACACCAUCCUGUUUUUAUGUACUUUUCAUCUUUGCUUCCUCCCGUUUGCCAUCUUCCAGUGUGCACCUGAAGACGCUGAACAUCUGAGGAGUCACCUCAUGGCGUGUGGCCAGUAGGUGGAAGAGCCUGGAUUUGAAUCCAGAUCUAUAGAGUUCCAAAACGGGUGUGAUUUCUACUAUAUCUGCUCUCCUGUCCCCAAAUUAUGGCAGAUGGUAGAGGGCAGAGAGGGGGACAUUCAUUAUCAGAAAAGGAAUGUCAGAGAGAAUCAGGUUAGGGUACAUGUUGAUGGGUUCUGGUUUGCAUGUGUGAUCUCUUGUCAGGUCUCUAAGGUGCUGGAAAGAUAUAGAAGUAGCUGGAAUACUGGCUGGAACCUGGGAGUGAAAUCACUGUAGUUACAGGUUUGUGAGCCUUCCAAAUCAACAGAUGGGGGACGCUGGGGCUGAAUGACGUGGCCAAGCUUGAGACUGCAGGACAAAGGUCACAGCUCAGAUGCCUGCAGUGGCUGGGCAGGUCACACACAUGAGUGGGCAGGUGUGAGACAUUUUGGAGUGGCAUGAGGAGGUGUUUGUGAGGAUUAUCUUCAUUCCUCUCAGAAAUUAUUUGCAAUUUUGGAUAGACACAAUAUAGUCAUUUAAAUGGUAGUCUAUUUCUUAAUUAAAGCUGGCAACUAGAGUAAUUUCCUGUAUUUAAAAAAAUCACAGUUUAUUGGAGCGGCUGGGUGGCUCAGUUGGUUAAAUGUCCGACUCUUAAUUUUGGCUCAGGUCAUGAUCCCAGAUCAUGGGAUCAAACCCUGUUUCAGGCUCUGUGCUGAUUGUGGAGCCUGAGUGUGAUUCUCUCUCUCCCCCUCUCUCUGCUUCUCUCUCUUUCAAAAAAAAAAAAUAAAUAAAUACACUUAAAAAAAUUAAAAAUCACAAUUUAUUUAUAAAAAUAGUUAUUUUGUUAAUGAUAAGACUAAUUAACAUAACAAAAUUAUAAAUUAUAGGCAUUCAUUUUUGUCUCCUUAUUUUCCCCUAGGAGAGAUCUCAAGUGAAAAUUUUUUAAAAGUACAACUAGUUCUGAUCAGAACCACCAGCUAUGUGCAAGAUUUCAUCAGAGCAUUGUUCUCACAUAAAGAACUUAGUAGCAGAGAGUUUUAGAAUCGGAAGAUCUUGAACAAUUCCUUUGUGACAAUUAAAACAACUAAGGCUCAAGGAAGGUGGAACAGACCAAAGCAACUGAUCUAGAUAAAAGUUAUGAGCCAUGUUAGAUUCAAACACAGGUAAUAUCCUUGGGAACCAGCUGCCACCAGCGGAGACCACAGAGACCACAGUGGAACUUGGAUGAAAAUGCACUCAAAGGCCAAAGGCUAAAGCCAGAGACCACAAAAGAACUGAAUUAAACAAGUUUUUACUGGGCCUUGGUUUCAAGGAGCUCAGAGGAUUUACCAGACUUCUUGUCGGCCUUCAUGACACCCAAGUUAGAGGGGAAAGUGAAUAUUGUACGAAGAUGGCUUUCAUAUGAAGGCAGUCUGCAAAAGCAAAACUGAUCACUCAAAGCCAGGGGGUGAGGACCCAAUUUCCUUAAGAAUGCACGGAUCUACUGGUGAAGGAAAAGAAUAUCACCGUUACUUAAGAUGAAACAACAACACUACUACUCAUUAAAGUACCCAAGGCAGGUAAACUGCCUUGUAAAUUGACCACUUGGGAAUGUUUGGCUUACCAGGUACUUGCACACCGGCAAGAAACUCAGGAAAUUCAGACAGAGUCCACCCUGCUGCUGCUCACCCCCUCUCCUAUCUGGCAGCCAGAAAGGAUUUGUUCUGUUUUGUUACGGAGGGAUAAACUAGGAUCAGUGAGUGGAAGACUCAUGAAGGUAGAUUUUUGGCUCGAGAGAACACUUUUCAAAAAUUAGAUGACCCAAUGAUGAAUGUGCUGCUAGCUAAGGUGAUGCGUGCUCUGUAGGUGAUCAAGCAGAAGCCCCAGGAACACACAUUCGGAUGAGCUAAACCAGAAGAGCCAAGACAUCCAAAGAGCAUCAGGAAAAGUCUUUGCUGAAAAGAAUCUUCAAGACCAGCUUGUGCCCUGCUGCUAAACAUCAGUUCAGCUUGUAAAAUCUCCCUGGUAACACCGUACAAUAAGGUACCAUCCAGUCAGCCUGGAAGUUUCAUCAUAUAACUCAAACACGCUUCAGGGGCUCUCGGUAUGGUGUCCUUCACUCCAUUCUUAAAGGCCUUGUUUUUUGUCCUCCAUUCUCCUUGUCCACACACCUGACGACUGUCCCAUUUAUAUUCUGCUGGAACCCUCCAAACUAAACAUAAUGGAACUGAGGGAAACCUAGAAAAGCCCUGGAUCCAAUUCACUUGGUCUCCAUAAUCAAAAGAGUCUGGAAACAGAAAUGUCAGGACUUUGUAAAUUUCAAUCAGGACAAAGUAGGGGAGAAGCAGUCUACUGAAAGAAAAACUAUUUUCAAAAAUGAAACAGGAGUCUUGACCAUUCUCCCAACUUAGAAGGCUCAUCUCACCAAAUACGAUGCAUUGGUCAGGGUUAGUUUUGGCUACAGAUACCACAGAGACUCGACGUCACAGUGUCUUGGAGCAGGGAAUAACAGGUGCCAGCCCAUGGACUCAAUCCAGCCUGCUGCCUAUUUUUGUAUAUUGAAAUUUUAUUUGAACACAGUCACUCCGUGUGUAUGUGUUGUCUGUGGCUGCC